rnacentral:rRNA from 1 species
AUUGAACGCCGGCGGCAUGCUUUACACAUGCAAGUCGAACGGUAACAGGGAGCUUGCUCCGCUGACGAGUGGCGAACGGGUGAGUAAUGCGUCGGAACGUGCCGAGUAGUGGGGGAUAACGCAGCGAAAGUUGUGCUAAUACCGCAUACGUACUGAGGUAGAAAGUGGGGGACCUUCGGGCCUCACGCUAUUCGAGCGGCCGACGUCUGAUUAGCUAGUAGGUGAGGUAAAGGCUCACCUAGGCGACGAUCAGUAGCGGGUCUGAGAGGAUGAUCCGCCACACUGGGACUGAGACACGGCCCAGACUCCUACGGGAGGCAGCAGUGGGGAGUUUUGGACAAUGGGCGAAAGCCUGAUCCAGCCAUGCCGCGUGUCUGAAGAAGGCCUUCGGGUUGUAAAGGACUUUUGUCGGGGAGGAAAUCCCCAGCGCUAAUACCGCUGGGGGAUGACAGUACCUGAAGAAUAAGCACCGGCUAACUACGUGCCAGCCGCCGCCGUAAUAC